rnacentral:rRNA from 1 species
GUCUAAGGCCAUACCACCCUGAACACGCCUGAUCUCAUCUGAUCUCAGAAGCUAAGUAGGGUCGAGCCUGGUUAGUACUUGGAUGGAAGAAUGGAAAGUCCUAGAAU